UACGUAGGGAGCAAGCGUUGUCCGGAAUCAUUGGGCGUAAAGCGCGCGUAGGCGGCCUCAUAAGUCCGUUGUGAAAGUCAAAGGCUCAACCUUUGAAAGCCGAUGGAUACUGUGAGGCUAGAGUCCGGAAGAGGCGAGUGGAAUUCCUGGUGUAGCGGUGGAAUGCGCAGAUAUCAGGAAGAACACCAACGGCGAAGGCAGCUCGCUGGGACGGAACUGACGCUGAGGCGCGAAAGCGUGGGGAGCGAACAGG
rnacentral:rRNA from 1 species